rnacentral:hammerhead_ribozyme from 1 species
AUCCGGGUGAAGAGUCCCGAAAAGGACGAAAUACGCGUCCUGGAU